rnacentral:rRNA from 1 species
UACGUAGGCAGCGAGCGUUGUUCGGAGUUACUGGGCGUAAAGGGUGUGUAGGCGGUUGUUUAAGUUUGGUGUGAAAUCUCCCGGCUCAACUGGGAGGGUGCGCCGAAUACUGAAUGACUAGAGUGUGGGAGAGGUGAGUGGAAUUCCUGGUGUAGCGGUGAAAUGCGCAGAUAUCAGGAGGAACACCGGUGGCGAAGGCGGUUCUCUGGGCAUUACCUGACGCUGAGGAGCGAAAGCGCGGGGAGCGAACGGG